AACGCAGCGAAGGGCGAUAAGUAAUGUGAAUUGCAGAAUUCAGUGAAUCAUCGAAUCUUUGAACGCACAUUGCGCCCGCUGGUAUUCCGGCGGGCAUGCCUGUUCGAGCGUCAUUAUGACCAAUCAAGCUCUGCUUGGCCUUGGGGGCCCGCUGUACCGGCGGCCCUUAAAAUCAGUGGCGGUGCCGUCUGGCUCUAAGCGUAGUAAUACUUCUCGCUACAGGGUUCAGCCGUCCACCCGCCACGAACCCCCAACUUUCUUAGGUUGACCUCGGAUCAGGUAGGGAUACCCGCUGAACUUAA
rnacentral:rRNA from 1 species